GGUUCGGGAGCGGUCGGUGGGACGGCCGCAUGAAUGGAACUCUUGGCCCCCUGUUUCUAGAGCGGUCCGCGCCGGUGCCCCGACGGCCGUGGAU
rfam:Haematobacter massiliensis strain CCTG 47968 contig31_scaffold26, whole genome shotgun sequence.